AGAUCUGGAAAAAGGUGGGGUCUGUCAGCAGCUGCCCCACCCCAUCUCCCCAGCUAAGGGACCCCCGUCCCUCCUCCCUUCUUGAGACCCAGGACCCAGGCAUUUGGGUCCUUGUAGGUCUGUUUUCACCCCUCAGGUAUUUCUCUGCCUAUGACAAGCUGGAUGCAACCCAAAAGGAGGGAAAGGGCCCAGAUGCAUAGCCAAUGCUUCUCCCACAGCAGCUACGUUGGCUAUAGGACACAAAGGCAGGUAGAAGCUCCUUAUCCAUUCUCAGGGGAGGACAGAUAUCCUGUGUUUGUGUGUAUGUGUGAGACAGACAGACGAACAGACAGCAGACUGGUGUCAUGCACAAUGCAUUAAGGGAGUGGAAUUUCAGCCACAGACGAAAACUGAGGUUUCAGGAAAAAGUGCUUGAAAUGAACUCCUGGGCUGAAACCACCUGAUCUUCCCUCCCAGACACCCUCUCUGUGACCCGGAACCCCCAUCAGACACACGGACCAUGCUUGCUCUUUAGGGCAGGGGCUUGUGUUUCUGCCUUCCCUGGGCACAGCCCCCCCAACCAGCUGCCCACCCUGAGAAGCACCCCACAUCCAACUCACAGGAAUGCAAGCACUCCACGAUGGUAGUGGCAUCGAUGAAAUACCCGCCACAGAGGGCACACAUGAGCCCAUCCAAUCCUCCUCCAGGAAGCCCUUCCUGGAAACACUAUGGGCACAGGCUGCCUAAAUUUGAAGAGGGCACCCAUCAUAUGUUUCUCUGGCUCUGAAUCCUGCCCAGGCCCCGGAGCAUCUCUCUCCUCUAAGGGCCACUGGAUAGACAGGAAGCUCCCUCGAAACCCACCAUACGCUGACCAUUCGAGUCCAGGCCUGGUCCUCAGGCAGGGACUACUGAAGAUGAUUUCUACAUGCCUGAAGUUGGGAACACACAGCUCCCGCCUGACCCCAGGCCCACCCCCAGAUUCUGCAGGUAAAGGCAGUCAAAGAACCAGGGCAAGAAGACUGCUACCACCCCCUCCACAGGAAUCCCCUCCACGGCCCACAAGCCCACACAUGCUCCAGGACCCCUCUUGUGGACACACAGGAAAGUUUCCCCAUAUGGGCACUGCCACCGUUUC